GGUGGUUCUCGGAUGACAGCACCCGGGAAUUGGGCUCUCUCCUCUCUGGGUCUGGGUGUGUCACCCAAAAACCGCA
rfam:Myotis lucifugus cont2.25464, whole genome shotgun sequence.